UGGGGAUAGGUUAUCCGUGCUCUGAGUCUGAGAAGGGGAUUUGGGGGAGGCUUAAGGUAGAAACAAAAGAUCUCAGUUUUGCCAUCCAAAUCAACCCAUGGCCAGAUCAGAUUUAGGAUUUCUUCUGAAUUUUGUCCUUGGAGGUGUGGGAAGAAUGAAUAUUGAAUAUUCAUACUCAACAUGAAUAUUUUGGAAGCUGGGCCUGAAAGUUAAGGUUCUCAGGUGAAGCGCCAAGUAUGUCACUGAAAGCCCAGUGGAGUUAAGUGUGCAAAGUCAGUCUGAACAUAUGCUGUAAUGGAUUUGACCUCGAAUAGCACUACAAAGAGAAAUUGCAGAUAACCAUCUGAACUGACUUCUGAAGCUUGUAGUUCUGGCUCCUGAGAUACAGAGAGAAAAGUGAGACCAAACAGGUGGGAGCAAACAACUCAGAGAGACCAGAAUGAAUACGAGUCUAACUUUAAAAGUAAAUAAAAUUAAAUAAAAAUGAUUUAUUCUAUAGCUCUUUGUCUUUUAUUGGUUCCCACACAAUGUCCACACAAUAAACAG
rnacentral:lncRNA from 10 species